GUCCUACGGGACGCAGCAGUGGGGAAUAUUGGGCAAUGGGCGCAAGCCUGACCCAGCAACGCCGCGUGAAGGAAGAAGGCUUUCGGGUUGUAAACUUCUUUUCUUGGGGACGAAGAAAGUGACGGUACCCAAGGAAUAAGCCACGGCUAACUACGUGCCAGCAGCCGCGGUAAUACGUAGGUGGCAAGCGUUAUCCGGAUUUAUUGGGUGUAAAGGGCGUGUAGGCGGGAUUGCAAGUCAGAUGUGAAAACCACGGGCUCA
rnacentral:rRNA from 1 species